rnacentral:rRNA from 1 species
UGGGGAAUAUUGGACAAUGGGCGCAAGCCUGAUCCAGCCAUACCGCGUGGGUGAAGAAGGCCUUCGGGUUGUAAAGCCCUUUUGUUGGGAAAGAAAUCCAGCCGGCUAAUACCUGGUUGGGAUGACGGUACCCAAAGAAUAAGCACCGGCUAACUUCGUGCCAGCAGCCGCGGUAAUACGAAGGGUGCAAGCGUUACUCGGAAUUACUGGGCGUAAAGCGUGCGUAGGUGGUGAUUUAAGUCCGUUGUGAAAGCCCUGGGCUCAACCUGGGAACUGCAGUGGAUACUGGAUGACUAGAAUGUGGUAGAGGGUAGCGGAAUUCCUGGUGUAGCAGUGAAAUGCGUAGAGAUCAGGAGGAACAUCCAUGGCGAAGGCAGCUACCUGGACCAACAUUGACACUGAGGCACGAAAGCGUGGGGAGCAAACA